UAAUACGUAGGGGGCAAGCGUUGUCCGGACUUACUGGGCGUAAAGCGCGUGCAGGCGGAUUGGUAUGUGCCGUGUGAAAGCUCCCGGCUUGCCCGGGAGAGGUCGCGGUAGACAGCCGAUCUGGAGGCUCGGAGAGGUUCGUGGAAUUCCCGGUGUAGUGGUGAAAUGCGUAGAUAUCGGGAGGAACACCAGUGGCGCAAGCGGCGAACUGGCCGAGACCUGACGCUGAGACGCGACGGCGUGGGGAGCAAACCGGAUUAGAUACCCGGGUAGUCCACGCAGUAAACGAUGCACACCCGGUGUCGGACCGACCGUUAAGGUCGGUGCGGUGCCCAAGCUUACGCGAUGAGUGUGCCGCCUGGGGACUACGAGCGCAAGCUUA
rnacentral:rRNA from 1 species